UACGUAGGGCGCAAGCGUUGUCCGGAAUCAUUGGGCGUAAAGCGCGCGUAGGUGGCCUCAUAAGUCCGCUGUGAAAGUCAAAGGCUCAACCUUUGAAAGCCGGUGGAUACUGUGGGGCUAGAGUACGGAAGAGGCGAGUGGAAUUCCUGGUGUAGCGGUGGAAUGCGCAGAUAUCAGGAGGAACACCAAUAGCGAAGGCAGCUCGCUGGGACGUUACUGACACUGAGGCGCGAAAGCGUGGGGAGCGAACAGG
rnacentral:rRNA from 1 species